CACUGAACAAACUACAAACACAAUUCUCAAGAGACAAUUUAUGAGCAUUUAAAAGUUCAACAAUAAUUCCUAAGCCAACAAUCUUCAUGGCUAGGAAUCAACUAGUGAACUUUCUGAAAAACAAAGGAAAAGAAGCUAUCCCUAGGCCCUGUAGAAAUUAAGAGGAUCUAUACUCCCUAAGGUCCUAAAGAACAAGUUGGCAAUUUCAAUAUGUCUCAGACAUGAGAGAUCCAGUGGAGGGGGGAAAACCACAUCAGAUGGUCUCAUUUCAAUCAGAUAACUGUUUACAUUCAGGAAUACACAGAGUCUCUUCCAUGUAGAAAAGUCUGCAAACUCAGGCAUUUCAUAACCCAUAUCAUCCAGAACACAAAACCUAUUAUGAAGCAACUGCAUCUAAUUAUAAUGACAUUGAGAACAUCUUGACAAAG
rnacentral:misc_RNA from 1 species